rnacentral:rRNA from 1 species
GGUCAAGCGAGAUAUAGGUCUGUGGCGGAUGCCUGUGGAGCCGUAAGGCGAUGAAGGACGCGGCAAGCUGCGAGAAGCCGCGGGGAGGGGCACGCACCCUUUGAUCCGCGGAUGUCCGAAUGGGGUAACCCGGGCGCGGCAACGCGCCCGCCGUACGCGUGAAUGAAAUAGCGCGGCGGAGCCAUACCGGGUGAAGUGAACCAUCUAAGUAACCCGGGAGAAGAAAUCAAGAGAGAUUCCGCAAGUAGCGGCGAGCGAACGCGGAUGAGCCCAAACCGCCUUAGGCGGGGUUGUAGGGCCGCAUGGGGAUGACCCGUGGAGUUGGGAGAAAACGCGAGCGCAGCGGAAGGGCAUGGGAAUGCCCGCCGGAGAGGGUGACAGCCCCGUACGCGAAGAGCGAGCGUCUCCAUGAUGCGGUUCCUGAGUACGGCGGGACACGAGGAAUCCUGUCGGAAUCCGGGUCGACCACGAUCCAAGGCUAAAUACUAGACGGCUACCGAUAGCGAACGAGUACCGUGAGGGAAAGGCGAAAAGAACCCCGGCGAGGGGAGUGAAAUAGAACCUGAAACCACAGACCGGCAAGAUGUCACGGCCCGCGAGGGUGGUGGCGUGCCUUUUGUAGAAUGAGCCUGCGAGUUGCGGUACGCGGCGAGGUUAAGGGAUGGGAGUCCCGGAGCCGGAGCGAAAGCGAGUGCGAAGCGCGCGUGUUCAAGUCGCGUGCCGCAGACCCGAAGCCAAGGUGAUCUAGUCAUGGGCAGGCUGAAGCGCGGGUAACGCCGCGUGGAGGGCCGAACGGUAAUCUGUUAAAAAAGGUAGCGAUGACCCGUGACUCGGAGUGAAAGGCUAAACAAACCUGGAGAUAGCUGGCUCUCCCCGAAAUGCCUUUAGGGACAGCCUCAUGGAAAGCUUGCGGAGGUAGAGCACUGGAUGGAUGCGGGGGAGUCAAAUCCUACCAAGUUCAAUCAAACUCCGAAUGCCGCAAGCCGGCCCAUGGGAGUGAGACCGCGUGCGCUAAGGUUCGCGGUCGAGAGGGAAACAGCCCGGACCGCCGGCUAAGGUCCCGAAACCAUGCUGAGUGUUAAAUGAGGUGCGGAUGCGCAGACAGCCAGGAGGUUGGCUUAGAAGCAGCCAUUCCUUGAAAGAGUGCGUAACAGCUCACUGGUCGAGCAUCCGUGCGCAGACAAUGUAACGGGGCUAAGCAUGGUACCGAAGCCGCGGAUUCAUGCCGCAUGGCAUGACUGGUAGGGGAGCAUUCCGCUGACCGGCGAAGGCGUACCCGCGAGGGGUGCUGGAGGAGGCGGAAGAGAGAAUGCAGGCAUAAGUAACGAAAAGACGGGUGGGAUUCCCGUCCGCCGAAAACCUAAGGUUUCCGGGGUAAAGGCAAUCUUCCCCGGGUAAGUCGGCCCCUAAGGCGAGGCGGAAACGCGUAGCCGAUGGGAAAUCGGUCUAGAGUCCGAUACUCCGUGCAGUUUCGACGGCAGGACGCAUGAGGCGAAGUCCGGCAGGGCGACGGUUGUCCCUGUCCAAUCAGCGAGCCGAAGAGGGGGGCAGGCAAACCCACUCCCCGAGGUGAGCUGAAGGCGAGCUGAGAGAAAGUCGAUGCGAAGCGGGCGUAGUCAUGGUGCCGGGAAAUACUGCCUAAGGCUAGGCUGUACGGAACCGUACCGCAGACGGACACACGUAGGUGGGAUGAGAAAUCUGAGGCGCACGAGCGAACUCGCGUUAAGGAACUCGGCAAAAUGCACACGUAACUUCGGAAGAAGUGUGGCUCCUGUUGUAGCAGAUGAGGAGCGGCAGAAAGCAGGCCCAGGCGACUGUUUAUCAAAAACACAGCCAUCUGCGAACCAGCAAUGGGACGUAUAGGUGGUGACACCUGCCCGGUGCCGGAAGGUUAAGGGGAGUGGUCAGCGGCGACGCGAAGCCCCGAACUGAAGCCCCGGUAAACGGCGGCCGUAACUAUAACGGUCCUAAGGUAGCGAAAUUCCUUGUCGGGUAAGUUCCGACCCGCACGAAUGGUGUAACGAUUCUGGGCGCUGUCUCAACGCGAGGCUCGGUGAAAUUUAUGUGCCGGUAAAGAAGCCGGCUACCCAUAAUUAGACGGAAAGACCCCGUGAACCUUCACCGCAACUUAAUAUUGGGAUCUUAUUCAUCAUGUGUAGGAUAGCUGGGAGGCUGUGAUGCGUGGCCGUCAGGUUGCGCGGAGCCGCCGGUGAAAUACCAGCCUUGGUGGAUGGGGUUUCUAACCCUCUCCCUGGAGCGGGGGCGGGGACAAUGUUAGGCGGGCGGUUUGACUGGGGCGGUCGCCUCCCAAACGGUAACGGAGGUGCGCGAAGGUCUCCUCGCGGUGGUCGGAAAUCACCGUACGAGUGUAAAGGCACAAGGAGGCUUGACUGCGAGGGAGACAUCCCGAGCAGGUACGAAAGUAGGUCUUAAUGAUCUGGCGGUUCCGAGUGGAAGGGCCGUCACUUAACGGACAAAAGGUACUCCGGGGAUAACAGGCUGAUUUUCCCCAAGAGUUCACAUCGACGGGAAAGUUUGGCACCUCGAUGUCGGCUCAUCGCAUCCUGGGGCUGGAGCAGGUCCCAAGGGUUCGGCUGUUCGCCGAUUAAAGCGGUACGUGAGCUGGGUUCAGAACGUCGCGAGACAGUUCGGUCCCUAUCUGUUAUGGGCGUUGGAUGUCUGAGAGGAUCUGCUUUUAGUACGAGAGGACCGAAGUGGACGAACCUCUGGUAUGCCGGUUGUGCCGCCAGGCGCAGGUGCCGGGUAGCUAAGUUCGGGACGGAUAACCGCUGAAAGCAUCUAAGCGGGAAGCCGGCCUCAAGACGAGACAUCCCCGGGGACAUCGGUCCCCCUGAAGGCUCCCGGGAGACUACCGGGUCGAUAGGCUGCAGGUGCAAGCGCCGCGAGGCGUUCAGCCGAGCAGUACUAAUAAGCCGUGAGGCUUGGCCAU